UGCGUAGGUGGCCGGGUAAGUCUGACGUGAAAUCUCCGAGCCUAACUCGGAAACUGCAUCGGAUACUAUCCGGCUUGAGGAUUGGAGGGGGGACGUGGAAUACUUGGUGUAGCAGUGAAAUGCGUAGAUAUCAAGUGGAACACCAGUGGCGAAGGCGAGUCCCUGGACAAUUCCUGACACUGAGGCACGAAAGCUAGGGGAGCAAACA
rnacentral:rRNA from 1 species